ensembl:snRNA U6 U6 spliceosomal RNA
GUUCUUGCUUUGACAGCACAUAUACCAAAAUUGAAAUGAUACAGAGAAAAUAAGCAUGGCCCAAUGCAAGGCUGAGAAGCAAAUUCGUGUUGUUCCAUAUUAAG